UGUGUUGAUUUCAACAGCACAUACACUAAAAUAAAAUUGGAACGAUACAGAGAAAAUUACCAUGGCCUCUGCUUGAGGAUGACACGCAGAUUCGUGAAGCGUUCCAUAUUUUA
rfam:Canis lupus familiaris chromosome 1, whole genome shotgun sequence.